rnacentral:rRNA from 1 species
GAUGAACGCUGGCGGCGUGCCUAAUACAUGCAAGUCGAGCGAACGGACGAGAAGCUUGCUUCUCUGACGUUAGCGGCGGACGGGUGAGUAACACGUGGAUAACCUACCUAUAAGACUGGGAUAACUUCGGGAAACCGGAGCUAAUACCGGAUAAUAUUUUGAACCGCAUGGUUCAAAAGUGAAAGACGGCCUUGCUGUCACUUAUAGAUGGAUCCGCGCUGCAUUAGCUAGUUGGUAAGGUAACGGCUUACCAAGGCAACGAUGCAUAGCCGACCUGAGAGGGUGAUCGGCCACACUGGAACUGAGACACGGUCCAGACUCCUACGGGAGGCAGCAGUAGGGAAUCUUCCGCAAUGGGCGAAAGCCUGACGGAGCAACGCCGCGUGAGUGAUGAAGGUCUUCGGAUCGUAAAACUCUGUUAUCAGGGAAGAACAUAUGUGUAAGUAACUGUGCACAUCUUGACGGUACCUGAUCAGAAAGCCACGGCUAACUACGUG